rnacentral:rRNA from 1 species
GACGGAGGGUGCAAGCGUUAUCCGGAAUCACUGGGUUUAAAGGGCUCGUAGGCGGCCAACUAAGUCAGACGUGAAAUCCCUCGGCUUAACCGGGGAACUGCGUCUGAUACUGGAUGGCUUGAGAUUGGGAGAGGGAUGCGGAAUUCCAGGUGUAGCGGUGAAAUGCGUAGAUAUCUGGAGGAACACCGGUGGCGAAGGCGGCAUCCUGGACCAACACUGACGCUGAGGAGCGAAAGCCAGGGGAGCAAACGGG